rnacentral:rRNA from 1 species
AUUGAACGCUGGCGGCAUGCCUUACACAUGCAAGUCGAACGGCAGCACGGGAGCUUGCUCCUGGUGGCGAGUGGCGAACGGGUGAGUAAUAUAUCGGAACGUACCCUAGAGUGGGGGAUAACGCAGCGAAAGUUGCGCUAAUACCGCAUACGAUCUACGGAUGAAAGUGGGGGAUCGCAAGACCUCAUGCUCAUGGAGCGGCCGAUAUCUGAUUAGCUAGUUGGUGGGUAAAGGCCUACCAAGGCAUCGAUCAGUAGCUGGUCUGAGAGGACGACCAGCCACACUGGAACUGAGACACGGUCCAGACUCCUACGGGAGGCAGCAGUGGGGAAUUUUGGACAAUGGGCGCAAGCCUGAUCCAGCAAUGCCGCGUGCAGGAUGAAGGCC